UCCUCAAGUAUCUCAACUUUUAUGCUACCUAAAUGUCUUGUACAAGCUUCUGUUUGUCGAGGUCAAAUUCACAGCAAAUAAAGUUAGCAAAACUGAAUGAGGUUGAACUGAAAAUAGGGAAGGAGGAAUUGUGCAAACAUUUCAAGUAGAAGGUCAAUUUAAACUGGGAACUUGAAAGUGAAAUUUUCAUUAUUAAAGAUUCAAAGACUAUAGUGUUUCAAAAAUGGAAGAAAAAUAAGGGAGAAAGGUGUUAAUCAAACUUUUGAACGUAACUAUGGUGGUAUUGGUGGAGAUAUUUAGAUUAAAUCAUCCAGAUAUAUAUUUUUUUAAAGUGGAAACAGAAAGUAGAGAAGUUAUCUUCAAAUGUACCUCAGACCAAUGCCAAUCUGCACCUUGUUAUGAUUUGCCUAUGGCAACAUAAGUAUAGAAAGAAGCAUGAAACUAAGAUAUUGCCAUACAAGUUUUAAUUUGCAGAAGAUUGACCCUCAAGUGAUUGGAAAAUUUUUAAAAAGAAAAAAGAAACUGUUUAUUUUACAAGUGAUAUUUGAGAAUCAUUGAGAUAGGGGACUAUAAUAUAAUCUCUCUCCUUUUUUGUUUUGGCAGUACUGGGGAUGGAACCCAGGGGUACUUUAUCAUUAAACUACAUCACCAACUCCCCCCACCCCACCUUUUUGUGAGACACUGCAAUGCUGGCCUUGAACUUGUAAUUCUCCUGCCUUAGCCUCCUGAGUGGCUGGGAUUACAGGUAUGCACCACCAUGCCCAGCUAUGAUAUGCUCUCAAAAUACUAGUAUCUCAUUAGAAGUAUAUAAACACAGGAAGUACAGAUGUUUCUAACUACUCAAAACUUUGGGUUUUUUUUGGUACCAGGGGUAUUUAACCACUGAGCCUCAUCCCUACCCUUUUUAGUUUUUGUUUGUAGACAGGGUCUUGCUAAGUUGCCUAGGACCUUGCUAAGUUGCCUAGGACCUUGCUAAGUUACUGAGGCUGGCUUUGAACUUGGGAUCCUCCUGCAUCAGCCUCUUGAGCCACCAGGAUUACAGGUGAGCACCAAGCCCAGCUAACUACUCAAACUUCUGAAAGAGGCUAAUAUGCCUCUGAGUGUGUAUGUGUGUGGUAGUGUGGUAUUGGGGGUUGAAUCCAGAGGCACACAACCACUAAGUAUGUAGCCCUUUUUGUUUAUUUUGAGAGGGUCUUGUUAGGUUGGAGAGGGUCUCGCUAAAUUGCUGAGGCUGCCCUCGAAUUUGCAUUCCUCCUGCCUCAGCCACCAGUUCCUGGGAUUAUAGGCAUGUGCCACUGAGUCUGGCCCCUUUUGAAAUAUUAUCAUUAAAAUAAGUUUAUCAGCUAGGCACGGUGGUACAUGCCUGUAAUCCCAAUGGCUCAGGAGGCUGAGAUAGGAUGAUUACAUGUUCAAAGCCAGCCUCAGCAAAAGCAGGCACUAAGGAACUCAAUGAGACCCUGUCCCUAAAUAAAAUACAAAAUAGGGCUGGGGAUGUGGCUCAGUGGUCGAGUACUCUCAAGUUCAAUCCCCAGCACCCAAUAAGUAAAUGAAUAAAUAUUUAUUUAUUUAUCAGUAAGUCCUAGUUUUAAAGGAUAAUUAAGAAUUUUAUAAAGGAGAUGGUUAUCUUACUCCAUCACUGCUCCAACAGUUGACAAGUACUAAAAAUUCUGUUUAUCUUUUCCUCUCUCACUUUUAAUUAAGACUUUGAAUCUACUAAAAUACAAAUGUUGGAACUGCAGUUGUGGCUCAGUGGUAGAGAGCAGCAUGUAUGAGGCAUUGGGUUCAAUCCUCAGCACCACAUAAAAAUAAAUAAAAUAAAGGUAAUAUAUCCAUCUACAACUAAAAAAAAAAAUUCUUAAAUGCAGAUGUUCCUGAUGGAACUAAACUAUCAGUAUUUUGCAUCUUUUGGUGAAUAAAAAUUCCUAUGGAUUUGUAUGAGGUCCUAUUUAGGGCAGCAGAACACAGCAAACUGUAGAUACAUUUGCCUUUUACCCUCCUGUCUAGUUUCUUCCUGACCUGUAUUUACUGAUGAGCUAAGUUUAAUGCUCUGAAGAUAUCAGGGUUUUAUUUCCAGUUUUGGCUGAAAGUAUCUUAAUAACGAUAUUUGCAAGAUUCAUUUACUAGAAGCUUGAAAUAAUAGGCAUUCAUAGCCAUGAAAUUAGAAUGGUUUAUUUCUGUCUCUGUUGCCCACAUAAGUUUUAACUCUUGAAAAUAUUUUGUAGGUUUUGGUCACUGCACGGUAGUUUCAAAUGGAUCCUCCAGAUGGCGAUCAUGUCUUACUUAGAGAACAGCCAUUGCCACCCACUUCUGCCUACUAAUUGUAUUGGUCCUGUGUUUUGCUUGAUUGCUUGGCAAAGAAAAAGUGGAACUCUUUUCUGUCUCUAUAAAUCUACUUACACAAAUUAUCAUUAAAUGGAUUUUUG
rnacentral:lncRNA from 1 species